UGGGGAAUAUUGGGCAAUGGGCGCAAGCCUGACCCAGCAACGCCGCGUGAGGGAAGAAGGCUUUCGGGUUGUAAACCUCUGUCCUUGGUGACGAAACAAAUGACGGUAGCCAAGGAGGAAGCCCCGGCUAACUACGUGCCAGCAGCCGCGGUAAUACGUAGGGGGCGAGCGUUGUCCGGAAUUACUGGGCGUAAAGGGUGCGUAGGUGGCCUUUUAAGUUGGAUGUGAAAUACCCGGGCUUAACUUGGGGGGUGCAGUUAAUACUGGAGGGCUAGAGUGCAGUAGAGGAAAGGGGAAUUCCGAGUGUAGCGGUGAAAUGCGUAGAUAUUAGGAGGAACACCAGUGGCGAAGGCGGCUUUCUGGACUGUAACUGACACUGAGGGACGAAAGCGUGGGGAGCAAACA
rnacentral:rRNA from 1 species